CGGGGAGAGGCCGCCGGCCGGGGCGCCGUGGGAGGCGGGGCGGCUGCGCUCGAUGUCUCUCACUACAGAAACCAAGCAUUUGUCCGACUGACCCCGACAGCUUUUGGAAGACUAAGAUCUCACUUCCAUGAUGGAAGGCCUGAGAUCUCUUCGACUUACUACUGAUGUCAGAACCCUUUCCCAAACGCAGCAACCAUGCAGUCUCAAGAAAUUUGGAGAUGGGCUUCUUGUGUUUGUAGCAUGGAUACCAAUUGCAACUCUCUAUGCUAUCUUUGUAAAAGAGGAUAUGAAUAGCACAAUAUGUUAGAUAUGAAAUGAUUUUGUCAUGAAUACACCUGUAGGAAUAUAAAAGAAGUAUAUGAUUGAUCAGUGAAAUUAAAGUUGGGUAUAUAGCCCAUAAUCUUAGGGGAAAUAACUGAACAAUAUUUGCACCGUUUUUUUUAAUAUACGUCAGUAGCUGCAACUUGUGACUUAGCUGAAGCGGAUCUGAAUUUUCCAAUAUGCUUCCAUUAUGUUAUGUCUACAUUAGCAAAUAAUUCAGUGCAUGUGAAGCAGAUAAACAGACUGAAGUAGCUGGUGCUAAGGCUCCUCAGAUUUCCGUUAUAUGCAGCAAAAGGGUUUUACUUAUGCUUAGAUAUAGUCUGGUCUCCUGUGCCAAACAUGGUCCUGAACUGGCUGAAGCAGUGCUACUGUACAAACCUUGACUUCCUCCACUGCAGGCUUCUCUGGGAGCACCAUUUCGUCCUUGCCCCUAUCCCAUGCAGAGAGCAGCAGCACAUCGGUGCCACGUCAGUGCCCUGCCAUCAUUGCUCGUAGAAGACUCCUCCCUAUUCCUGAGUGACAUUGUUAUGCCUGGCAACUGCCCUACCUUCCAGUUCCAAGUUUGUACAUCAUCUUCUGCAAGGGGUCAAAGCACCAGCAGAGGUGAACUAUAUGGACUUAAAAAAUAGAUUAAAGCUUUAAUCUUAGAAAAAUGCUGGCUCACUCUCAAAUCUAGAAGAUUACCAGGCACUAAAUCAGUUGCUAUAAAAGACUCCCCAAAAGGAAGCUGAAACAUUUUAAGAUAAUGGCUAAUUCCUGGUUAAAAAAAGAACCACCAUAUGUUUAAUGAUGAAAAGUAUGUCCUUAUAUUUUACAUAGAAAAAACUUCCAUCACUUUUAAAUUUUUCUGAGCGCUCCCUCUGUCUACCUCUCUUUGAAGUUUACACUGCAGUCUUGUGGUAGGAAAGCCAGUUAUUUACUUACAAACAUAUAAAUGGUUAAUGUCAAUUUACUGCAAGUCCAGCUGUUUUAUAGAAAAAUAAUGAUAUACACUGAGAAUUUAAACAGUAGAAAUUUAAAACACAUUAAUAAAUAAUCACGAAAAGUAAGUAUAUCUGUAAUCAUGGUAAUAUUAUUUCACACUUCAAUUCACCCCAAAUCAGAAAAUAGCAGCAUGAGAGAUCCUCUCAUCUCAGUUUUGCCAUCUGUGUUCGUAACACUCAGAAUUUCUGUUCAGGCACAAGAUAAUCCCCGAUUAUUUCAAGCUAGACAGAUAUGAAACCCUUAGCUACUACUAGUUUUUCAUGUAAGCAGUUACUUUAGCCACCGUAAAGAUUACUGGAAAUACAAACGGGAGCAGAGGCGGUCUCAGUAUAAGAAAAUGAGGAGGGAGUCGGGGUUGCUGAUUCGGUGCAGGCCCUCCUGAGGAGGAGAAGCAGGCUGGUGUGGGAGAGGGCGAUCUGCACAAGCAGCGGCGGCAAGGAAGGGGGGCUUCCUGCCAGGGAAAGAGGAGUCAGGGAGCUCUGCGAUACCUAAGAUAGGAAGGACGGUCAGUUCACUCGUUACUGAAUGGGAAUGGAGAUGUUUGUACCCAACUAACUUAACUAUUAAGAAGCGAUAGUCAUAGCAGGGAAGUUUAAAAACUCACCGUUUAAGCAUGUAGAAGUUUACUCAGCACACUGAUCUCCAAAAUCCUGUCCAGCAGUUACUCCAAAAGCAGUAAGCCUUUCUAAUCAAGUAUCUUUACUUAAUCUACCAUCUUAAUCCCUACACAGUUUCUCAAAACUAGGACUUGGCCCUUAUUUCACUGGUUUAUAUGUACUUCCCAGAACCCAUGAAAUUUGAUGAAGUAGCUGACAUCCAGCUUUGUCAUGUAAAGGCUUCUGAUCUUUUUCUGUCAGGCUUGAGUGACUCAGCUUGAAUCUGUGAACAAUAAAAUACGGUAACAUUGAUUCAACAAUUCCUGCAGCUCCAUGUGCCUUCAUGAUCUCUCUCAAUCUUCCAAAUCAGUUAACAUGCCAAUAAGGCUUUCCUCACUGACUGAAGCCUUGCAUAGGGGAUUUUGAAAUAUCCUUUGACAAAGAGCAAGUCUGUCUUUCAAUCAAUACUCACACUGAUAUAAAAAUGUUUCAUAAAAAAGUCCUCACACUGUAAUUCUGCCAGAGAAGAUAGGAGGCAACUACAAUGAAAUGACAAAAGGGAAAAAACCCAUGUUCUGAGCUUAUUGUUUGUUUUACUUUAUUAUGUCAAAGAACUGUAACUCCUUUAGGAUGUAUGAUCCAACUGAAUUCAAUUUCUGAUGGAUGCAUUUGCUCAGACUUGUUCAGAACCUUAUGAGCAAUAUCUGUUAGAAUUGUGUCUACCUUUGAACUGAGCUGAAGAUACAUAACCUUACCUAAGUUUCUCUCUGCUUUAUGAGAAAAAUGUCUUGAUGCCCUAAGAUGAACAAUAAGCUGAAAAAAAUGUAUUUCCUUAGUUAUCUGAUAUGUAGAACUACAUACCAUCUAUGAUUACACAGAAGUAAUACUUGCUUUACAACAGUAAUUCCUAAUGUUUUUCAGCUGAAUGAACUUAACUUUUUCAUGGAAGCACACUAAAACCCACUUUACGUUCUUCCUCUGUCUUCUGUUUUUCACACAGCCACGCACUUGCACCAAAUGUAACACUUCAGUGAUAAAACUACAGCAAUGUAAAGCUAUGAGGUAUUUCUGAAAAACCUCCACUGGCACUGGGAGCAUCUACACGACAGUAAGGUAUACAAUCAUUGGUAUUCUCUGAAAAAAUAGUGGAGAAAUUUUUGUCAAAUUCACAAAACAGCUAAAACCUGCUAUGUAUAUAAAAAAAAUGGGGGGUGUGUGCACGUGCAUGCACAUGUGUGUAAAAUUAGAAAAGGGAAAUAUACUUACUUUCCUCAAAAAAGCAAAAUGGAUAUUUAUUAUUCAUUAGCACUGACACACAGCCUAAGAAUUUUCAAUUAAAAUUGAAGUAGUUUCCUGUCUGAAACAACUGGGGUACACUUCUCUUUGGACUGUCAAGAAUGAGUAUCAAGAAGCCACUAAAAUACUGAACUACAUUAUAUUUCACUGCAAUAUGUAUUUCAUUUUCUAGCAACGCUGACUAGAAUUUUCUAUUAUAAGAAAAAAGCAGGAAAAGUUUUACAUGCACGUUACAGCGUGCUUUGGCUUUACUUCAAAAAUACUGAUGCUCACACUUACCUUCUGGCCAACGAUCUAUGGUCAGAGGAUUCUGGAUCUCAUUUCUGAGGUGACCUACCUGGUAACUAGUUGACUGUCCUCCUUCUCCCCCCUCCAGUUCAACUACCUAUGUUUUUGUCUUGUUCUAUGGUGUAAUUGGCUAUUUGUCUUCUACAUGAAUGUCUCCUUUACCCACUGUGAAAAUGAAAACCCUGCAGUCCAUCUUUCUUUUUAGUACAAUCAUCAAAAACAUAGUUUAAAAACUGUGGAACACCCACCAGUGGUAUUAUCAGUGAGAACAGUAUAUUCUUACAUCUCCUGGCUGUGAGACAUUGGUAUCUGAUGGUAUAUACAAGAGGGUCUCUCCACUUUCCAAACAGAUUUAAUAUGAAACUUUGAACUCCAAAAUACAAUAAACAGGUAAAAAGAAGAACUACCACUGUAACUUCAUGGCAAUGACUAUAACAACUUGUGAUAACAUGUAUCUGAAGUAGAGCAAAAGCAAUUCUUACAAUCUAAGGACCUACUUCUUUUCCAGUUGAAUUCAGUGACAAUUUUUUUGGUGAUUUCAGCAUGACAAGUUGCAUUUAAUGCACUUAGAUCACACACAACACCAAUUUUGCUCUCUCUCCUGCAAUUAGACUUCGGUCUGCAGAAUCAGUUUAUUUUUCAGUACAAUUUAACAGUAAAAUUCUUGCUACAAAGAUGACAAGCAAACCACUAUUUUAUUUUAAAUACGACCAGAUAGCCAGUGUUAAAAGCAAAUUAAUUCACUUCUUUUUCAUGGAAUGAAAGUUCAUCUGGCUGUAAAAAGUCUGAGCUUUUCAUUUAGUAUUCAGUUUCAGUGGGAGGUCAGGACCCUCGGCUGAAUAAUGAUUUCCCUUUUUAAUGAUAUCUCUUCAUACUUCUAGAUUCACACCUCGCCAUUUCCUCCCAAUUAUUAUUAUUAAAGCUACAAUGUUCUCCAGACUUUUAAAUCUGUUCAAAAGUACUGUUUACGAAAUAGGAGCGCAUUAGAUGAGAAAGUGGAUAAAGGAAUACCUGAAAGAGUAUGUAAAUGUUUAAAUUGUUCAAUAUUAGGGUACAUUUUUCUCUCUAGAAAAAAUGAGGGAAUUUCAAAAUAAUUUGCAAAUUGUGUCUUUUCUUACUCAAAGAAACCAGUCUGUGCAAACUAGCAAAAUCUGGAAGAACAGUUCUAAUAACAUAAUGUAACUUCAUGUUCUGCCUCUUAAAAAAAUAAUGGUAAACAGAGAGAAACUAAUAUUCCUGCUGAAAGUGAUGAGAGCUAAGAGUACAGCGAACUGCUAAAAUUGAAUCCUGUGGAAUUAAAAUGAAGAUCUGAGGUAGAAAUAUCUAAAUAGUCUAGAUGAUACUGGCAUACUUAAUGUGUUUUAAACAUCAGAAGUUUAAGAUUUUCUCUUUCCUAGUUGCUUUUGGAUAAAGUAUACAUAUAUCCUAUGACAAUAAUUCCAGAGUACAUGUUUUUAUUGUUUGUGUAUAACACAACAGAAAUUCACAUUCUGUGCACUUCAGGCUUGUUUAUUUAUCUAAACAGUAGAUGUCACUAAACUUUUGGCAUUUACCAUAAAAAGCAAUUACACUUACUCCACUACUCUCCACUGUAGUAGGGCUAUCAGAGUACAGAGUAUUAUUUAUACCCUGUAGAAAAGCUGUAAGAUUUUAUUGAUCACCACAAUAGCUUUCUCAAACAUUAGUUGUAUAUUAUUUUUAUAUUAGUUUCAAUGGCCUAUACUCUCAUUUUUUAUUUUUCAUUUUUUAAUUAAGGAGAGCCUCUUGCUCUCAUGCAGUGAGUGGAUUUAUUAUUCUAAAAAGGUGCUACUCAGAUGAAAUUGCCUGAAUAGUACUCAUAAAUUCCUAAUAUUUGUAAACAAGAAAGUGGUAUUGCAGUUAACAAAACCAACCGUAGCAUAAUACCGUAUCAAACACUCACCAUGCUACAACUUGUUAAACAGAAUGAAGGAGCCUACGAAAACUUGCUGAUACUUCUUUCAAUCCCUUUUACCUUAUUUUUACCAAAGCUUACUCAUUUUUUUAGUGGGAAUCUUCUGUAUCAGGAAGAUCUCAUGAGAAAAAGAUAUAGUGACUCAGCUCUGCAAAGGCAAAAAAAUAAGCACAAUAUACUUAUCUUAGAAAAAAAUUAAAUCUCCUCUGAACUUUCUUAUGAAUUGUGUUGGUAACAUAAGAAUUUCUUCUUACCUCUUACCAUAAUUCUUACCCUUUCUGUAACAAAUUUUGAUGUUUAACUUCACGCCUCGCCACUGUGUUAAGGCCAUAGAACAUUAGGUUUUCUAAUGCAAGGACUUGUAUUUGAUUUGUUCCUGCAUGAACAAGAAUAGCCAUUGUGCUAUAAUAAAAAAAAUACUCUUCUAGAAGAACAGAUCACACCUACAUACAUCAUAGGCAGUUGUACUACAGUAUCAUAUAGUUUUCUGAACACAUACUACGUGUCAACGUUUUGGACCCUCUGCUGAAUCUUAGCAUCCUAAAACAAGUUCAGCAUGGCAGAAAGACCAGACCAUUAUCUGAGAUUUCCAGGAACUGUUAAGCACUCAAAUAUAUAAGACCAGAAAUACCAGCUUGCUACUAAAACAUUUGUUUUAGCUACGCUGUAGCAAAACCUAAUAAUAUCAUACUUCCUGAUACAGAGUUUUGCAAAUUCCAUUUUCUUGUUCAUGUGUCAGCCAGUUAUGUAGUAAAACCUGGAAGUGUAGGGAAAAUGGAAAGGAUAGGUAAGAAAUGUCAGAAAGAGAAGUUCUGAACUAUUGGAAAGUAGCAGAACUUACGAGGUAUUAAGUUUAUUUUCUUGUAAAAUUUUCCUCCUAAAAAUGGUUCAUUUUCUUCUAAAAUUUCAUAUUACUUUGAACAUCGUAUCAUGGCAUUGUGUUACCAACCUGGUAGUAUAACAAACUGUAUCUUCAAAUCUGUGAUUUCUAUAGUAUAUGACUUGCAAAUCUGAAAACUAAUUAUUUUAGUUUUGAUACUGUAAUUAUGAACCCCGCUGAAACCAGCUAUAAGACUGCUAAAGCCUUGCCAUAGGCCUACUUAGGCUAACGCAGGCCUUAGCACGGGCCAAAACAGACUUCCUCACCACUCCAGCCUAAACUCUCAGUCUUGCUUUUUGCUUAUAGUUGCACCUACGGGCAACUUUUUUGCUAUUCUGUAGGAUUUUAAAGGAGGUAUUAUUAACUUAUUGAAAUGAAACUUCUGCUGGCCCAAUAAGCUUUGAUGUGAAAUCAGGACAGGGUAACCUGAAACUAUGACGGCUGUAUUGUCGUGUCAAAUCUUUGUAUUUCGAUAAAGCCUGUCACACAUUGGUCACGUACACGUGGAAGCUAAUGACGAUGCAUGCACAGGUAACAUAGUCUUAAAGCUAUAGAAGGGAGCAGCAUCCCUUGAAGAGAGCGAUAAGAAUCACCCUAAGACCCUGCCUCUCCCACCGAACGGAACAGCACUCAGCCACUGACUUGAUUUGGGUAAUCAGCAAGCAGGUGUAUUAAUCACCAGUGUGAGGUGAAGUUAUAGUUCAUUAAAUUUUGCUUUAUUUGUAUACAGUGUAUGCUCAUUAGCAGGGAUUUCUCAUGUCCUCCCUCUUGAGCCCAUCAAAAGCAGCAAUAAAUCCCCUGUCCAUUCAGUCUGCCCAGGAAGCUGGCUCCACACUCAGCCUAGCUCACUCCUACAACUGAGUGGGCAGAUAACCUGGAGAGCUAGCAUCACCUCCCACCUGAACAACUCUUACAGCUCCCUCUGCUGGUUUAUGUCUUAAUAGUCAUAUUAUUCAGGCACUGAACUCCUUGGAUGAGGAAUACUUUCCAUUCACAGUUAGUAAAAGGACAUGGAUUACAUGGAUAUAAUUCUUUAAAAUUAGUUCAUAUUGCAAAAUAUUAAUUUACAAAUGAACUUGGAUACUAUGCUAAUACUUGUGUUAUUAAUUCAAUUUUAUUAUUUUCAUUUUGAUUAAUGAGAGUUAUCUUUAAGACAAAAAAUGAAGUAUUAAUCAUAGUGCAUUAUAUUAGAUAAACUUUGCUUUGGCAGUUUGCCCAUGAACUAACAGAAUGGAAAACCCAAGCUGUGAAUGCCUCAAAAAGAUCAAAAGCAGGGUUAGUACCAUGAGCUUUCACAAGAAAACAAUCAUUUUU